AUUGAACGCUGGCGGCAGGCCUAACACAUGCAAGUCGAACGAGUGGCGGACGGGUGAGUAAUGUCUGGGAAACUGCCUGAUGGAGGGGGAUAACUACUGGAAACGGUAGCUAAUACCGCAUACCAUCAGAUGUGCCCAGAUGGGAUUAGCUAGUUGGUGGGGUAACGGCUCACCAAGGCGACGAUCCCUAGCUGGUCUGAGAGGAUGACCAGCCACCCUGGAACUGAGCGACGGGCAAGACUCCUACGGGAGGCAGCAGUGGGGAAUAUUGCACCAUGGGCGCAAGCCUGAUGCAGCCAUGCCGGUUGUAUGAAGAAGGCCUUCGGGUUGUAAAGGACUUUUGUUGGGGACGCGGUACCUAAAGAAUAAGCACCGGCUAACUACGUGCCAGCAGCCGCGGUAAUAC
rnacentral:rRNA from 1 species